AAGAUUAUGGUUUCAGGGAUCAUUUCUAUAGGUAAUGAUGGGAGAAAUGUGUUUGAAACUGUCCAAAUUUGCUAAUCACUAUGAUGACUUUAAGAGCUUUCUUCUCAGUAUGAAGCCAGUUAGCAACUUUGUUUCAUGCAGAUGUUGUUUGCUUUUGAUGACUGUCCCACUUCUUUAUAAAGAAGUGGUAGAAGAGUGCUCAUUCAGAGUGAC